rnacentral:rRNA from 1 species
UACGAAGGGGGCUAGCGUUGUUCGGAUUUACUGGGCGUAAAGCGCGUCGUAGGCGGCUAAGUAAGUCGGGCGUGGAAAUCCCCACGGCUCAACCGUGGAAGUGCACUCGAAACUGCAUGAGCUAGAGUCCUGGAGAGGAAGGUGGAAGUGCUUGGUGUAGAGGUGAAAUUCGUAGAUAUCAGGAGGAACACCCGGAUAGCGGAAGGCGGCACUCUGGGCCGAUUCUGACACUGAGGA